UACGUAGGGUGCGGGCGUUGUCCGGAAUUAUUGGGCGUAAAGAGCUCGUAGGCGGUUUGUCACGUCUGCUGUGAAAUCCCGAGGCUCAACCUCGGGCCUGCAGUGGGUACGGGCAGACUGGAGUGCGGUAGGGGAGAAUGGAAUUCCUGGUGUAGCGGUGGAAUGCGCAGAUAUCAGGAGGAACACCGGUGGCGAAGGCGGGUCUCUGGGCCGAUACUGACGCUGAGGAGCGAAAGCGUGGGGAGCGAACAGG
rnacentral:rRNA from 1 species